GAGAAUAUAGCUCAAGUGGAAGGGCACAUGCUUAACAUGCAUAAGGUCCUGGGUUCAAUCCCCAGUACCUCCU
rnacentral:tRNA from 1 species